GUGCAAUGAUGCAUUGUAUCAACCCAUCAUUCUGAUAAGAUAGGUAUGUGGAAAACUUAAUGACUGAGCACA
ensembl:snoRNA SNORD63 Small nucleolar RNA SNORD63